rnacentral:lncRNA from 1 species
UCGGAUCGAAUUUUUUUCCGAUGAAUCCAUAUCCGUUAAGAAGGUCCCGGAUCGGAUCGGAGCUCCGGUCCAUUGACAGGCCCAGGUGCAAGCCUAGAAGGAAGAUUUACGGAACGCGGUAUUGAUAAUUAGGAUUUAAUAGGUGGAGACAUUGACUUUUAUUUUAUUUAUGGAGAGAGAGGAGAGAUUAAACUAGAUGUGAUACAGACCUGCUAGAAAGGAUACUACUGGAUUCAAGGAACAAAAACUUAGUCGGCGGUUCUCCCUCUCCCUCUCCCUCUCUCCCCCUCGCCAUCGCCCUCCCUCCUAGUUUAAAUCAUAGUAUGUUUUUUGUGUGCCUGUGCUUAUAUGAAUUCAAAGCCCCUGUGAUCAUAUUUCAUUUCAACUUAGGCGACGACAGUCUAUCUUCAAGGUUUUGUAAUUUGAUUGUUCAAACGUAACAGAAACAAACAAUCUCAUUCUCAGAUCAAUUCUCCAUCUCAUCAAUUAUACUCUCCUUCCUUAUCUUGCAUACACUAUUAUUUUUGUUUGGGGUUGCACACAAAAUCCCUUAUUGUUGCUAAUUUUAUAAUAUUGUUUAUGAUCAAGGCACUAACAGCGGAUCAUAUUGUAGUCUUGAUAGUGUUUUUCUUGUGUGUCAGGUGAUGCAAUGGAUUGCACAUGCGGAGUAGCUCAACUUAUCUCUUCAACAGCUUGUUGAUAAACUAACCCAGCCUGGAUAUCUCAUUAGUCUAUCUCUUAAGGUCUCAUUGCACCUUCCCCUCUAAUUUCUUUUUUGUCUUUUCUCCCCCUCUCAGUUUACGUUUUUCUUUUGUAUUUUUUAUUGCAUUUGUUCGAUAAAUUAAUAUCAAUACCUCACAUAGAAUUCUUUGAUAGACUUGGUCAAAGAGAGAGCAAGUACAAGUUGAAAAGAACUCUUGACAUUUUCUAAUAUUCUCCACAUUUUCCUCUCUGUUCUUUCCACCUAGGGGUGAAAACGAGUCGAAUAGGUAUGAACAAUAGUAUGGUCGGAUUCGGCUCGAAUUUAUAGUUAUNCACCUCCUUCAGCUCCGCUUCCGCUGUCACCUCCAUCAUAACCACCUCCACCUCCAUGCUGCCCGCCCCCUCCAUAACCACCACCUCCAUGUCCACCUCCAUUAUUUUCUAUCACCACCAAAUCCCCUCUCACCUCCACCGUGCCCUCCCGCCUCACCUCCGUCACCUCCAGCCUCACCUCUGUCGUCUGAAAACACAGCCACAUCCUGGUGUCACUGUCACUAGCUUCUGUGCUGUACCCGUUGUUUUACCAAUUUCUAAAGUGAUAAUCACUAAUUUAUAUAGCACAAAUCACUAAUUUGCAAAGCGAAAAUCACAAAAGUAUAUAGCAGGAGGCGUAAAUAGCGGACUUGUGGAGACGUGAUGGUGGGUGAAUUCGCCUCUGCCUCUGCCUCUGCCACUACCAUUGCACUACCACCGUUGACACCCCAACAUCACCACUACCAAAACGUAGUAUCAUCAAACACCAAAAUCACCACAACUUCAGCACUAAAUUAUAUCUAUAUGUUUGUAUCUAUCUCAAUGGGAACAAAAUUCAGUUGUAGCAAACUAUAUUGAUUUACAUCGGGGCAGGUUGAGAGAAAGACGGAGGUAAGAGAAACGAGGAGAGAGAGAAAGUAGAUCUGAGUAAAGAAAGAAAAAUGGAUUACUGUGUAUGAGUUUUGUUAUUUUUAUAUAUGGUUUGUAGUUUGUAUUUUAAGAUUGGUUUGUAUUUGAGCACUCCCCUAUAUAUAUAUAUUUAUUAAUAUUCUACCGGAUCGGGUCAUUAACGGAUCGGAUCACCCUAAAUCCAUAUCCGCUCCAUUUAUUAUCGUAUUUUUCUUAUCGGAUCAGAUUUCGGAUCGAAUUUUUUUCCGAUGAAUCCAUAUCCGUUAAGAAGGUCCCGGAUCGGAUCGGAGCUCCGGUCCAUUGACAGGCCCAGGUGCAAGCCUAGAAGGAAGAUUUACGGAACGCGGUAUUGAUAAUUAGGAUUUAAUAGGUGGAGACAUUGACUUUUAUUUUAUUUAUGGAGAGAGAGGAGAGAUUAAACUAGAUGUGAUACAGACCUGCUAGAAAGGAUACUACUGGAUUCAAGGAACAAAAACUUAGUCGGCGGUUCUCCCUCUCCCUCUCCCUCUCUCCCCCUCGCCAUCGCCCUCCCUCC